UACAGAAAGAGGGAAAAAUUUUUGGCUUCCUUUCUUCUUCACAAAAACACCCUCACAGCCACAUAUACAUACACAGCUUCUUCUCCACAGGGGGCCCACAAGGAAAAACAUCGUCAUAAUCUUCAAGAAAAGAAGACGCCAUUUUUGCCAGACCACUCACGAUUCCCUCACAAAAAACACUCUCCGUCAUCACUCAUCCUCACCAAACACACGUCACUCCUCUCACCAAAUAAAAUCACGGAUUUGGAACAUAUACACCAUAUUUUGGUUCCAAUAUUCCAGGCUCUUAUUCAUUGAAUACAAACAAAGAAGGGGAUGGGGAUUUUGGGCCAUUCACGAGUUCCACCCAUACACUGAAAAUUGCGAGAGAGAGCUGCAAGAGAGGGAGAGUGAGCUGCGAGAGGGAGAGAGAGCUGCGAGGGAGAAGUCGAGGUUAACAUUUUCGCCGAGCUGUUCUCCGGAAAACACCACGGUUACCUUAAAAUUGGGUUGUUAUCAUCUUUCGGCGCUUUCUGAGCUUUCCGAAACUCAGGUAAGUAGCAGAAUCCGAGGUCAAAACAGUCCAUAAAUUUCAGUUUGAAUCGUUGGUCUUUUGGGUAUGUUCGUUUUUUAUGAAUUUUAUCGAGUUGUCGGGUCCAUGUUGAAUUCGUUGAAUCGAGGUCUUGGUUCGUGAGCUCCAAAUCCAUCGCUAAGUGUUCGGAAUAAAAUUGAGCUAGAAGUUGAGGUUCUCAGGCGUGGUUCUAUCUCCGAUAUAUUGAAAGCGACACUUGAGACUUGAUUGGUGGAUUGCGUAUUGAAUUGGUUUAAUCAUGUUGAGAAAGAAAUUUGGGGGGAAAGAGUUCAGAAUCGAAUAAGAUGAACGUUCAUUAGUUUUUAUUCAUUUUUGGAUAGUAUUGACAUUGAUAGUAUCAUGUGUUAGAUCGUUAAAGGGGUCGGCAAAUACUAAGUUUGGGUAGGUAAAUUGUAGAAAAAUGGAGGAUUAUGAUUUUGGUGAACGUGUGAAUAUUUGUUGAAUGGUUCUUUCUAUUUUAACGCACAAAAAUUGAGAAAAUGUAUUCAUUUAGUCGGGGAAUGCCCCGAGACACAUUGUAUUUAUUCACCGGGGAAUGCCCCGAAGUAUCAUGUACACAGAGGAGGCCCGUGAUCAAGGCCCGAGGCAUCGGGUAAGGCAUGGGAGCGUAGUUUUAGGAUUAGCUUAGAAUAUGAUUUAUAUUUUCGUAUUUUUCUAUUUUUGGAUUGUAUAAUUGGACUGGACUUUACAUUUCAGAUUGUUUUGUUUUGUUUGAUUA